AGCAGUAGCCACGGUAAUACGUAGGUGGCAAGCGUUGUCCGGAAUUAUUGGGCGUAAAGGGCUCGCAGGCGGUUUCUUAAGUCUGAUGUGAAAGCCCCCGGCUCAACCGGGGAGGGUCAUUGGAAACUGGGAAACUUGAGUGCAGAAGAGGAGAGUGGAAUUCCACGUGUAGCGGUGAAAUGCGUAGAGAUGUGGAGGAACACCAGUGGCGAAGGCGAUUCUCUGGUCUGUAACUGACGCUGAGGAGCGAAAGCGUGGGGAGCGAACAGGAUUAGAUACCCCAGUAGUCCCUGUCUCUUAUAC
rnacentral:rRNA from 1 species